rnacentral:rRNA from 1 species
UACGUAGGGAGCAAGCGUUGUUCGGAUUUACUGGGCGUAAAGGGCGCGUAGGCGGCGCGGUAAGUCACUUGUGAAAUCUCUGAGCUUAACUCAGAACGGCCAAGUGAUACUGCAGUGCUAGAGUGCAGAAGGGGCAAUCGGAAUUCUUGGUGUAGCGGUGAAAUGCGUAGAUAUCGGGAGGAACACCCGUAGCGAAGGCGGCACUCUGGGCCGGUACUGACGCUGAGGAGCGAAAGCGUGGGGAGCAAACAGG